GCACAAUUUAGUGAACAACAAGGAAGGAAGAGUACAACAACUGCGGAAUUGGGGCUGCUGCACCUAAGAUGAUGAUGCAGGUACGGUCAAGCUUAUGGCUAGUGAUUUUCUUUCCUCCGGACCUAAUUACGGAGUGAGCGACUGGUGGAUGCCGGAUACGGAGGAGCAUAGCCUGGACUAUGCUUGUCACUUUUGUGCAUAUUCAAUGCCAUGAGAUGGUGGAACUGGUACUAAGGUAGGAUUGGACAUCAGCAGCGGUUGUGAGGCUCGUGUCUACGAAACACCAAGAUGCUGAUGGACAUCACUUUUGUUACUCCAGUUCUUCCUUUUUUAUGUAUAUAUUAUGGAAUGUGUAGUAAGUAGUAUUGAACCUGUGGUUGUUUUCAGACAUGAAAAGUGUAUAAGGUAAUUUAUCGUUUUAGUACAUCACCAAUAAUAUUUGUAUGAUUUUAAUA